UAAAUUAGAACAAAGUAGGUGGAAAAUUAAACCAAUUGCAAUGUGACCCGUGGAAGCACCAAAGGCAUUACAAUAAGAUGAAUGACAGCUUCAUGCCACACAAUAGUUCAUUAAAAAGCCUAUUAUCUGAGCGCCUUUUACAUUCUUUUGGUUAGACUUCAGGUAAGUCAUACUUCAAGCAAAUAAUUGAGUCAGGAAUUGGCAUUUUACCACUCGUUAUCCUCUGAGGUGCGUUCGGUUCUACACCAUCGGACUCAAUUUUCACCUCGCAGACAUUGAUCGAGCACAUAAUUAUAAUUUGCACAUACGCGAUCACACCUUAAAUAACGCUUGCGACACAUUUACUGUGAGGAAAACUCAAUUAAGUUAAACAUGGAUCUUUUAACAGCUUAGAAGACAUCAACGCACUUCUAAACUAUUACCUUACACUCUCGCAAACUCGUCUUAUUUUGCAGCUAGAGUCGCGCAGACAUGGACCAAAGACCGCGAAAUCAAGGCGGAUCGCCAAAUGCGCCUAUUAGGGAUGAUUUGGUCUGGUGGAUUACAUCUCAUGAAGCAAUUUUGCAUCUAGAUGAG